rnacentral:tRNA from 1 species
AUUUAAAUAGUUUAAAAAAAAUUUUAGUUUGUGGAACUAAGGAUACAGAGGGCUGUUUUAAAUU